CUUGCGUUCGUCUCGCCGCUCCCCGCCCCCACACCGGGCGCGCGCACUCCGCUUUCGGAGCCGGCAGGGAAGAUGGGCCGGGGCGCCCGGGUCCCAGGCGGCGAGGCGCCGGCGUCUUAGAGCGGAGCCCGGAGCUUUCGGAGUGCGAGUGCCAGUGCUUCCUGAGCAAGGCUGCCUCCACUGUCACCCACACAUUCCAGUGUCUUGCAGAGUCCUCUGAAAAAGAAGUAGCAUGAAUGUCUGCCGCAGCUGCUUCCUAAAGGAGCCAAUAAGGGAAGAAGUGAUGAGAACGGCACAGCUAUUAACAGACCAACAAUGGUGAAGGAGUACAUCAGAAUCCUUGUGAGUCCAAACUGAGGCAUCAACUGCUGCUGAGGGACGAGUCAUGGAGGAGCAAUACAUCAUAUGAAACCAUACCUUUUUCCCCCUCACAUUCCUAUCACGGGCUUCCUGUUCUAAGAGCUCAGCAGACAGUGACUGGAGACACUGCCUCCCAACUUCGGUUCACCUUUGCAGUUCCACAAGGGACACCAUGUCAAGAUUGUUCAGCUUUUUUGAUGAGUGCUGCGUGAGUAACUAAUGUGUAAAUGCAGAUAUGUAUAGAAAGCAGUUUUGACAGUGAUGUAUUGCAACUGGUUCCAGAUGUCGGUAAGGGAUGCUUGGCCAGGCAUCUGGGGCUCCACUGCCACAGAACAGCACCAGGACCAAACCAGUCUUCAAAACACCAUGGCACUUUAACUUCAAUUAAAAUCUUCUUAAAACAAUUAUGUUGUUUCUCUUCUUUCAAGACAACAUCAUAGUAUUCUCCU